rnacentral:tRNA from 1 species
GGGCGCUUAGCUCAGCGGGAGAGCGCUUCCCUUACAAGGAAGAUGUCACAGGUUCAAAUCCUGUAGCGCCUA